CUGAGAGUCCUGAAGGAACGUUGAAGACGACGACGUUGAUAGGCCGGGUGUGUAAGCGCAGCGAUGCGUUGAGCUAACCGGUACUAAUGAACCGUGAGGCUUAACCUU
rnacentral:rRNA from 1 species